rnacentral:hammerhead_ribozyme from 1 species
GUCCAAAUGACGAGUCCCAAAUAGAAGGAAACGUGCAUCCUGGAA